CAGAGGUCCUCAACUAGUUGCCCCUGUGGACGUGGUGCAUGGGUGGAGGUAGCGCGGGCACUACCGCAACCAAUGGAGGUUCUACCGGGAUCCAAGAAAGAAGGGAAGAGCUGAUGGACACCCGGAGCUGCCAGUUUAAGUUGUGCUGGG